rnacentral:rRNA from 1 species
UACGUAGGGGGCAAGCGUUGUCCGGAAUCACUGGGCGUAAAGCGCACGUAGGCGGAUCUUUAAGUCAGGGGUGAAAUCCCGAGGCCCAACCUCGGAACUGCCUUUGAUACUGGGGAUCUCGAGUCCGGGAGAGGUGAGUGGAACUGCGAGUGUAGAGGUGAAAUUCGUAGAUAUUCGCAAGAACACCAGUGGCGAAGGCGGCUCACUGGCCCGGAACUGACGCUGAGGUGCGAAAGCGUGGGGAGCAAACAGG